rnacentral:rRNA from 1 species
CCUACGGGUGGCAGCAGUGGGGAAUAUUGCACAAUGGGCGAAAGCCUGACGCAGCCAUGCCGCGUGAGUGAUGAAGGUCUUCGGGUUGUAAAGUACUUUCAGCGGGGAGGAAGGUGCUGUGGGUAAUACCCGCAUGAAUUGACGUUACCCGCAGAGGAAGCACCGGCUAACUCUGUGCCAGCAGCCGCGGUAAUACGGAGGGUGCAAGCGUUAAUCGGAAUUACUGGGCGUAAAGCGCACGUAGGCGGUCUGUGAAGUCAGAUGUGAAAUCCCCGGGCUCAACCUGGGAACUGCAUCUGAAACUGGCAGGCUGGAGUGUGUUAGAGGGUAGUAGAAUGCCAGGUGUAGCGGUGAAAUGCGUAGAGAUCUGGAGGAACACCGGUGGCGAAGGCGGCCACCUGGAAGAAGACUGACGCUCAGGUGCGAAAGCGUGGGGAGCAAACAGGAUUAGAUACCCUAGUAGUC